rnacentral:rRNA from 1 species
GUAGCAAUACUGAGGUGGCGACCGGCGCACGGGUGAGUAACGCGUAUGCAACCUGCCUAUCAGCGGGGGAUAGCCCGGCGAAAGUCGGAUUAAUACCGCAUAAAACAAGAGCUUCGCAUGGAGUUUUUGUUAAAGAUUUAUCGCUGAUAGAUGGGCAUGCGUUCCAUUAGGUAGUUGGUAGGGUAACGGCCUACCAAGCCGACGAUGGAUAGGGGUUCUGAGAGGAAGGUCCCCCACACUGGUACUGAGACACGGACCAGACUCCUACGGGAGGCAGCAGUGAGGAAUAUUGGUCAAUGGACGCAAGUCUGAACCAGCCAAGUCGCGUGAAGGAUGAAGGAUCUAUGGUUCGUAAACUUCUUUUAUAAGGGAAUAAAGAGAGGGACGUGUCCCUUAUUGCAUGUACCUUAUGAAUAAGCAUCGGCUAACUCCGUGCCAGCAGCCGCGGUAAUACGGAGGAUGCGAGCGUUAUCCGGAUUUAUUGGGUUUAAAGGGUGCGUAGGUGGUCUGUUAAGUCAGUGGUGAAAGUUUGUCGCUUAACGAUAAAAUUGCCAUUGAAACUGUCAGACUUGAGUGUGUUUGAGGUAGGCGGAAUGCGUGGUGUAGCGGUGAAAUGCAUAGAUAUCACGCAGAACUCCGAUUGCGAAGGCAGCUUACUAAACCAUAACUGACACUGAAGCACGAAAGCGUGGGGAUCAAACAGGAUUAGAUACCCUGGUAGUCCACGCAGUAAACGAUGA